CAAAAUGUGGGCUUCUACGAAAUGCUGCUGUAGGAAUGUGUGCUGUAAGAAGAGCCCCACUUCCUUCUGUAAUAACCAGUUUUCUCCUAACCAGAAAGGCAUGGGCUUUAAUGCAAAGCUCUACGGAUUUACUGUCCUCCGUGACGCUUGGGCACCACAGAAUACUGUCGGACUGCAUUAUGCGAAGGGAUCACAGGAAGUCACUAAGGAGCAGCCCUGUCACAACAGCCUCCAAAGGACAGAGAGUGAACCACAGAGGAAAUUCGAAUGCAUGUACAGUGGGUUCCACUACCAGGGAGCCUGAGCUUGGGACAAGAGGAGCUCAUCACCACCAGAAAAUACUACCAACAUGCCCAAGAGUUUGUUUCCCAUACUUUUAAAGGAAAAAAAAAAUGGAUGGUUCUGAAAUCACCUGGGUUUGUUUUAUUACAUUAUAUCUUCUGGCAAGAUCAGUGAUGGCAGAUGUGAUUCAGCAAUAGAAGCAUGGCUGUACUGGUAGGUUUUUAAAAUAAAUUCAAGGGCUGUACUUUCUGACUGGCUACCUCUCUGUGGUUUGGCUUUUUAAUGGAGUUCAAUAGGCUUCAUGUUUCUUAUUAUGAUUUCCUUUAAAAUCUCUGUAUACGAUAAUGUUUGUGCUACUGGAUAUUGCUCUAGUUUUCUUUAAAUGCCACAUCUUCAACACAGUAUAGUAAAGAUGUGCUAAUUAAACUCAAUCUAU
ensembl:lincRNA